AAGUCGAACGAAGCAAUUAAAAUGAAGUUUUCGGAUGGAUUUUUGAUUGACUGAGUGGCGGACGGGUGAGUAACGCGUGGAUAACCUGCCUCACACUGGGGGAUAACAGUUAGAAAUGACUGCUAAUACCGCAUAAGCGCACAGUACCGCAUGGUACGGUGUGAAAAACUCCGGUGGUGUGAGAUGGAUCCGCGUCUGAUUAGCCAGUUGGCGGGGUAACGGCCCACCAAAGCGACGAUCAGUAGCCGACCUGAGAAGGUGACCGGCCACAUUGGGACUGAGACACGGCCCAAACUCCUACGGGAGGCAGCAGUGGGGAAUAUUGCACAAUGGGCGAAAGCCUGAUGCAGCGACGCCGCGUGAGUGAAGAAGUAUUUCGGUAUGUAAAGCUCUAUCAGCAGGGAAGAAAAUGACGGUACCCGACUAAGAAGCCCCGGCUAACUACGUGCCAGCAGCCGCGGUAAUACGUAGGGGGCAAGCGUUAUCCGGAUUUACUGGGUGUAAAGGGAGCGUAGACGGCGAAGCAAGUCUGAAGUGAAAACCCAGGGCUCAACCCUGGGACUGCUUUGGAAACUGUUUUGCUAGAGUGUCGGAGAGGUAAGUGGAAUUCCUAGUGUAGCGGUGAAAUGCGUAGAUAUUAGGAGGAACACCAGUGGCGAAG
rnacentral:rRNA from 1 species